ACCGGAUGCGGAUCUCGAAAGCCUGUCCCAGUUCGGACUGGAGUCUGCAACCCGACUCCACGAAGUUGGAUUCGCUAGUAAUCGCGCAUCAGCCAUGGCGCGGUGAAUACGUUCCCGGGCCUUGUACACACCGCCCGUCAAGCCAUGGGAGCCGGGGGCGCCUGAAGUCCGGGACCGCGAGGACCGGCCUAGGGCGAAACUGGUAACUGGGGUGAAGUCGUAACAAGGUACC
rnacentral:rRNA from 1 species